AACACUUCUGAUCUCAAUACUAAUUUUUCCUCCGUUCCCUACAGCCACAAACGACUAGUGCAGUAUGGUAUAUUUCUGGGCUUUUCAACUCAAAUGGGGGUAAAGAUCUCCAAAUACUUUAUUAGGAUUGAACAUCCCUUAGAGCUGUAUAGGUACAAACAAGCAAUCAGGCGCCUUUCCAAUCUUCUAACCUGCGAGCAUAUCUUUAAGGCAGCAUCCCGUCUGAGGGUCCUUCAGAAGCAUAUUUACAAUUUCAAAAAAUUUGUGUUCAUAUGCCAACUUGUAAUACAGGUAGAUAUCUUCACAAUAUGAAAGUAACUUCUUCAGGUUUUCUGUGACCCUGUCGGUAGGCUGGUGUUGUUUAUAUCUACACAAAAGAUGUAUAAGUACAGGUUAAAUACUGUAUUGUCAAUGAGAGGGAUCAACUCCACCACCACUAUCUGCAGAGGUUGGGAUUUUGUAGCUUAGGAAAUUGUCAAACUAGUAUUGGGUCUUGAUGAAUUAAUUUCAUUAAAGAUAAAUACGUGUACCCACAUACUAAAUGUAGUACUACUGUAAAAGGCACUUUUGCUAGGGUUUUUGGCUCAUAAGCAACAUUUUUUUUUUUAAACCACCCUGACUGUCCUGGGAUACACUAGCACUGACUGAGGCAACUGCUGGGAUUGCCGUCAAGUUUAAAUACUUACUUUUUGGAAAUGUCUUCAAAUAUAUUGGGUCUUAGUAACUUCUGCUGCUUAAAUUCUUCCAAAUAACUAAAGUCUCCUUUAAGAAUCACUUGUUGGUAGAGUACUUCAGCCCAGUCAGGAACAAAGUCAUAGGCCUCAGCUACAAUAGAAGCCUGCAAAGGAUGGGCAUGGUGGGAGGGGCCGUUAGAGCCUGGGCUGUGGUGACUGUCAGAGACAGUUCUACACACAGUGAGUUAUGAUGAACAUAGUGCUAAAUGCUCUGUCUUGGGUCGUUUAAAGUCUUAUUGAUUGGCAUUUCCCUCCCAUAAAACUCAUGCAGUAACUUGUUUUUAGUCUUCCUUACAAUGGACAGCAAAACUGCUGAGAUGUGAAUUAUUUCCAUAACUCAACUGUGUGAGGAGCAGGGAGAAAAGCUGGUGCUGGGACAUUAGUACUUUUUAUUUUUUGUUCUUCAAGAUGGGGUUUCUCUGUGUAAGAGCCUUGCUUCUUUGGAACUUACAUUGUGGACCAGGCUGGCUUUAAACUCAGAGAGCUCUGUCUGCCACUGCUUCUGCCUCCUUAGUACUGGGAACUGAAGAAGUGUGCCACUAUGCCUGGCCAGUCCCUUUUAUUUUAAAGGCUAGAACUGAUCUCUGGGAAGACCAUUCCAAGAACACAAUCUGGAAAGACUUAAGAGGAUAGGCAAAGGAUACCUGACCCAUAACUGACAAACAUCAAAAUUCUCCAUCCUUUGCCCAAAUCAUGUGUUAGAGAUGUAUAACAAUCAGUAGUGGCUGGGAGUGUGCCUUAAGUAGUGCAUUUGUGAAGACCUCAGUUUGGCCUGAAUCACUAAAAGCACACACAUCCAUCUCACAUUGCCUCCGCAUGGUACUAAUAGCUAAAUUGGGAGAACUAGCCCUGAAAGGUCAGACUCAGCCCCUGGGGCCAAGAGUGAAACACCACAGGAUGAGCAGGCAUGCUGGCAGUACUUGCCCGAGUAUUCUUACCUGGUAGAACCGAGGUAGGGUCAUGAUACAGUCCAUUAGCUUCUGAUGGCCCAAGUUGAUAAGCAUUGUAUUCUGGCCACUGUUGAGAAAGUGAAUCUGUAGUGUUAUCAACUUGGUGAGCCGGUUACAGUGCAGGGCCUGUCGAACACAGGAGUCCUGAGGGACAAGGGUGGAGGAGACACAGGAAGGGAGAACUUUAUUGUGACCGUCCCUUCUGUUCUCUGACCUUUGCUUAAUUCAUUAUACACUCCCUCUUCGCUGGAAGAGCCCAAGCCAAAGUAAUUCCUAGUACUGCCAAGGCUGGAGGCCAGGUUAGAAUAACACUGGUUACCUUGGCGUAACUCUCUGCUGCAUCCAACAUCAGAGUCAGGGCUUUAAGCAGGAGCUGUUUUAGUUGGGCUCCAUCCUUGAGGCUUUCCUCUGUAGAAUAAAGGACAGUUGUUAGAAAGCUCAGUGGCUCAGAUCCACUCAGUGAUGGCAGGCUAGAUGGGAAAAACAUCCUAGGUAUAUUCACAAGCAGGUGUGUUCACUCGGGUGAAGGCUGGUGAGAAAUAUAUGCCCUAAUAGAAUGUAACUCCUAGGUUUGGUGGAUGACACCUUAGCAUGUUCAGUCCUAAGGUUCAAAUGUUUCUGUGAACUGUCAUCUUCUGCCACCUGGACUGCUCCCCAGAGCUCCUAAGACUCCUAAGACUGCACUUACCCCAGGGCUGAGACUCAAUCAGCUUCAGUUGGAUGCAGGCUGCUGCCUCGUGAUUCUCUCCUAUCUCCCGGCACAUACUGAAGCACAGGGCAAUCAUAUUGUGCUUUUCGCUGUCUCCAGGGCGGCAACGUUUGAUGUAGUCUAGUAGGGCUGUCUUCAGGGUGCCGGUCUGCCCAGAAAAAAGGGUAUAUCUAAGGUCUCAGCCAGGGACCACAGGAGAGAAUCAACUGAGUCCAUUGGUUUUAUAAAGUGUUUAAAAUACCCAAUGAAAGGUAAAUGAAUAGAAUGGAAAUGACAAUAAAAUCUUAAGCUGUCUUGAAAACAAGGAAACAGGCGUGUCCUCAUUGUUGGGGAGCAUACACAGUCACCUGACCAAGAAAGAAUCCUGUAAGAGCACAUACUUAUCUAAAGGCUGUUUGCUAGGACUGUCCUAAAGAUGUGCAGUGUGAAGCUGAAUGUAACACACUCAAUAGCAUUAAUUAAAAGCAGCCUGGAUGCCCCAAAUAAAGGCUAAGAACAUCUUG
rnacentral:lncRNA from 1 species